GUUUCAGUUAGUCACAGCUAGCCGGGGGUAUGUCCUUGCCAAUCAAGUUUGAGGGGUUAUGUCUAUGGAUGGACUAAGUUUUUAUGUUUUGCAGGUCUCAACCUCCCCUGCUUCAAAGGUUAAACAUUAGGUUGCCUGAGGUAUCUUGCCCAUCGAGCGUGGAUAAGGUCGGCUGAUGGCGGGCAUUGGAAGGAUUUUUUAUGACGACGGGGGAGGUGAGAGGAAGUGG